rnacentral:lncRNA from 1 species
CAAACACAAACUCUAGAUAAUUUUGAGCCACCCAAAUACUGCCCUAGAUUCCUUCACUUUCCCCUCCCUGGAACAGCCACGUUCCCAAAGACUGAAGCAGCACACAGCCUGGUGGCGGAGGGAGCUGUUAAGUGAUCUUAACAUCAGAAGAAAGAGGAGCAUGGUUCACCAGCACAAGAGGUAAAGAUUUUAUAUGUCAGUGUUUCCAAUCCACUUCAAAACUUCUCAAAGCAAUAACAGUAUGUAGGCAUC